rnacentral:rRNA from 1 species
AUUGAACGCUGGCGGCAGGCCUAACACAUGCAAGUCGAACGAGUGGCGGACGGGUCAGUAAUGUCUGGGAAACUGCCUGAUGGAGGGGGAUCACUACUGGAAACGGUAGCUAAUACCGCAUAACAUCCGAUGUACCCAGAUGGGAUUAGCUUGUUGGUGGGGUAACGGCUCACAAGGGCGACGAUCCCUAGCUGGUCUGAGAGGAUGACCAUGCACACUGGAACUGAGACACGGUCCAGACGCCUACGGGAGGCAGCAGUGGGGAAUAUUGCACAAUGGGCGCAAGCCUGAGGCAGCCAUGCCGCGUGUAUGAAGAAGGCCUUCGGGUUGUAAAGUACUUUCAGCGGGGAGGCGUUACCCGCAGAAGAAGCACCGGCUAACUUCGUGACAGCAGCCGCGGUAAUUC